rnacentral:rRNA from 1 species
AGAGCGAACGCUGGCGGCAGGCUUAACACAUGCAAGUCGAACGGUCCUUCGGGAUAGUGGCGGACGGGUGAGUAACACGUGGGAACGUACCCUUAGGUUCGGAACAACACAGGGAAACUUGUGCUAAUACCGGAUAAGCCCUUCGGGGGAAAGAUUUAUCGCCUUUGGAGCGGCCCGCGUCUGAUUAGCUUGUUGGUGAGGUAAUGGCUCACCAAGGCUACGAUCAGUAGCU